UUAGUACACAGGCAGCUUUUCUGGCACAAAUCCAUUCUGUUUACUGAUGUCUAUCUUAAUAAAUAUGCUUCCCAUCAAAUUGGGAGACCAUCACUUGUCCUCUUAGAGAAGAAAAGCUACAUCAUUAGGAGCAGUGGUGAUGAGGGCCCACCAUCCUGCAAAGCGAGGAAUACAGAGAGGACGCGAGGAGGCGUGCUGUACGUCCACGUGGCACAGCCAUGUGAUUCGGGAAGAGGAGACCAAAUGGUUUGGCGUCUUAAUCCCCGUGGACCUGAGCCACCAGGGCUCACCGGUCUCAUGACAAAAGCCUGGGAAAGCAAAGUCACGCAAGCAUAUAUAAGAGCAGCUACCAUUCAGCACAUAUUCAGCAACUGUCAUUAGAGGUAACGUGCAUACAAACCGGUUUUCUAAGACAAGUUUCCAAUAUUUUCUCAUUGUGACUUUCCACAUCAGGGCUCUCCACAUCACCCCCCUCAGACAAAGGGAAAACGAUGAAUAUAAUGGCCAUCCUGGCCCUUCCUUUUGGUGGGAAGAAGUCAAUAGAAUAUCCAACAAUAAUGAGAGUAAUAACUGUUAUUUUUCACAGAUGCUUUUUUCUAAAGCGGUCAUGGUAGAAUUGCGUCUUCAGGCUGUUGGAUGGCUCACGCCAGAAGUGUCUCCAUGCGAGCUGGGGAGAAGAAGAAGAACACAGAGAAACAAAGUCCAACAGUAAAAAAAAAAAAAAAAAUGCCAUGAAGGAAAUAAACCUUAUUAUCCGAUUCCCAGUCUUCGUACCCAGGUAGAACUGUUAUUAUUAGCUCCUCAGAUAUCCUUGGAAAUACCUUACGAAUAUACAAAGAGAACGGUUCACACAUGCAUGUAUACAUACCCCGGGAGGCAGAAAAAGAAUGUAGCUAUACUAUAACAGUGUCGUGUAACUUGCUCUUUUUCAUUAAAAUAUAUCUAAAGACCAGGAUUCCAUAAGUACAUCUGUAGGCUUUCCCUCAUUUAGCCACAGUUGCAUGUAAUUCUAGGAAAGGGAAUGUAAUUUAUAAUCUAUAGCCAUUAAUAAAUGUAAUUCAUCGAAUUCACUGCUGCCAUUUAUGCUGUUUCUAGCAUUUGUGACUACAGAAGCAGUGAAUGAUGUCUCCCAACAUUUCAGAAUACUGGUGUCAUUAAUUUGUCAAUAAUACCAUGUCUUUCGUUUGCCUCCUCUCUCUCUCUCUUCUUUCAAGAGACAGACCCUUUUCUAAAACUCUACUUUUCAACUGUCCUAUUUUUUUUCUCUUCUUUGUCCUAAAUGUGCCUUAGUGGUCUGCUCGAUGCAGCCUCCCUGAUGUAAGGUGACCCGUGUGUCUCCAUGGCGUGUGACCACUAUUUUCCUCUGUACGAAGAAAUCUGAACAUACGUCUAAGCAUUACGUAAGCGUGAGAAUUAAAAACAAGAGCGCACAUCAAUCUAUUGGAUUCAAAGGCUCUCUUUUAGAUUCUAAACAACAUUGAGAAUUUUAAAUAAUGUCUGGACGUCCUCUGCUGAAGAGAGAUCGGAAACUGUAUAAUGUUGUACAAAUACCAUUCCGACAGAAUGCUAACACGCCCAACACCUCACUUGCAUUGCACAAACCUCCGUGUGCCUGAGGUGUGCAUGAUCCUUUAAGAGUGUGAAAAACACUUUCGUAUUCAUCAUCCUGGUUUAAAAGCUAGAAAAUACUCAACUUAGUUUAAUAACCUACUGACGAAUGAUGCCUUUUGAACCUCCAAACAUGAAAUGUGCCAUUUCAAGUGUCUCUCUUUAUCCAAGAAUCGUAUAUAUCUUAUGCCACCUACAUUUCUUUCUCCAGAGUGACAAUUUCCAUUUGAAACAGCUUAAAUUAAUAGCCUUCUCUGUUUGGCUUCUCCCCUCUGUGAAAUAAUUCAGAGCUUCUAGGCAGUCUGUUUUUAUAAGUAAGCAGCCACGAAAGAUUAAAAAAGAAUUCAGCACAAUGAAUUUUCUUGGCAAAAUAAUGUAUUAGCUAAAUGGUGCCUAUUAAAUCACCUGUGCCCCUGGCAGCUGGUUUAGGGCUAUACAAUAAAUGACAAAAUAAGCCUGUGUGAAGAUUUUUCAAUAUUCUGCCAUGUGGUUAUGGAUUUCAGAGUUUCUUCCUGUCAGUUUUAUGCCGCAUUUCUUUACAAACCUGACAGGCAGCUGACAAGGCAGGGAAAAGUUAGAAGAUGUGGCUGGUGGUGAAAUGUAACACAUAUUUUUUUUUUCCUUCAGGAGAAUAAAACAUUUAGUCUAAGUGCACAAAAUCUGGGUUAGAACUUUGAGGAAUUCACGAACCAUCUCCCUCGGUCGGACUGUCCGGCCCUGAGUUCGUCACCUGCUUGCUCUAAAACCGAGGGCAGGCUGUUGGGCCUGCCUGUGCCUCAGUUUCCUCAUGCACGGAAAAAUCCUCCCAAGGCUGUCGAGGGGUGGGAGGAGUAUUUGGGACUGAGCAGGGCAUUGUAGCUGCAAUAGUAAUGGUCUGGAAUCACAGAGCUUUCUGGUAGGUUCUAGGGAGGAGUAUUAGCGUUUCCGAGUGUAUGAAAAGACAACUAGAGUUGGAUCGGGAUACUUCCACUAAACCCUUGGUUCUCCAAACAGUAUGGUGAACAAGCAUCAACACUGACAAUAGUUUUAACACACGGAUGGAAAUGGAAAGACUAUGUAGAGAGGAAAGAGGAGAAUAUACACCCGCUGCCCCCUCGGUUUAUCAUGAUCCUGGCCCUUCUGACACUGUUCAUUAACGUUUUUGCUUCGGUCUUCACUGGAGACCCAAACUCUCUCCCUCAGGUCAACUCUUCCUGCAGGGGUUCCAGCUGCUUUUCUCGCUCGGGCCCCUGCUGCCACUGGGGGCCACCUCCUACACGGAGGAAAAGUGCGGUGUCUUCUGAAGGAAGUGGACACCGAACGCUCAGCUUUCAGGUCAGCGAUCAGAACUGCCUUGCGGCCUCCGGAGGGAAACCAGAAACAAGGGGGCUUUGUUUUGUCUCCUACGGUGGUGUCCCCUCUAAGCGCCCGGAACUGUCUUCUCCCGAGACCACAGGGAACAGACACUUGUACUGUGAAAGGAGGAGGUGAGAAAGUAACCUACACAGUGCACAGCAACUGUGGAAACGGAAAACAGGAAGACUUUUUGUAAUUCCUAUUUUUAAAGUUUAUUAUUUAUUUUCAGAGAGAGAAAGAGAGAGAGUGUGUAUGCGAACGGGGAGGGGGAGGAGAGAGGGAGGGACAGAACCCCAAGCAGGCUCCAUGCUGUCAGUGCACAGCCUGACACAGGGCUUGAUCCCACGAACUGCGUGACCAUGACCUGAGCCGAAACCAAGAGUCAGACGCCCAACUGACUGAGACACCCAGGUGCCCUGAAAGAAUUUUUUUUUUUUAAUGGGAGAAAGUAUGUAAGAAAUGUCAUUUUAGGAAACAAAAUCCUUAUAGAAUGUAACUAGUCAGUGAGCCCCACAACAGGACAGAAUCAAGUAAUCAGCACAGGCUGGACCCCACUGCCCCUGGUUCGCAGGCUCAUACGAUGCUCUCCUUGUGAACACAGUCUGAUGGUCGAAGAUAGACUCGUAUUUGUACCACCUUUCUCCAAGUACAAGUAACAUUUAAGCUUAGAUCUGAUACUUAAUAGAAGUAAGAAAUAAACCUGGUUAUGUUUUAUCUACGUUCCACUUAAAAAUUGUUCUUAAGUGAUCAUAUGCUUUACGUGAAGGUUAGAGUUUAAGAACUCUGGCCGGAAAAUAAUACGGUGCUGGUUGAAUCAAUGGCCUGGCAACGACAGAUUACCCGCCAAGGAGCAGGCUCGCCCCCACCCCCCACUUCUAGAUAGCGGGGUGAAGGGCUGCCAGAGUUACACCUGCUUUGAGUCAGAUGCAAUCACUUACCAGUAUAACCCUGUGUCCUCAGCAUAUAUAGGUGUGUGUGGCCACGAAGAGCCUAGCACGGGAAAGAGGUAGAACGGUCUUUUUCUGAGUAGUAAAGGAAAAAAAACAAAUCCUUUUUUAUCCUCAGCCUCAGCAAGAGGGUCAGUGGGUAAACAGCGAUUCUAUUUUUGUUUCCUACACACCUCUGAGGAAACCCAACAAAUCAAAAAUGCAUUCGGAAGCCGUGGGCUCCGAUCCCGAAUUCUCUAUCUCGCCUGACACGAGAGACACCCCUCGCAGGCAAGCCCUUCUUCCGCCACAAAGCUGAAUCCGAGCACCAUAAAUCCUCAGCGGGAGAAGUUCCAGGAGAAAACUGAUGACAGUUUCUAGUAAAAAACAAAACAAAACAAAACAAAAACAAAAAGCCAAACAAAAAAGAAACAAAGAGAAACAAACAAACAAAAAGGGGCUACUGAAAGCAGGAACCCCAUUUCGGUUCACGUUUAAACCCCCCAGCUUGUCAAACUCGGGGGCUGCUCUCGACAGAGCACGUGCCUUAGGAGUAUUUUCGCAAACGAGAUGCUGAAUCGCUUUUAGUUGCAUAAAAGUUUUCCUAAAGACUUUUCAGGCUGCUGCUGGUCUGAAAAGCGUCAGGUCUGUCUCCUUCCUGCCAGACACCUGUUCUCGGGGGAUCUCUCAGAGCCUGGCCUCCCUGCAGGGGAGAAUGAGGGCCCCAGCCACUGCUCAAUCCCAAGGCCUCGGCAGCAAAGCCCAGACCACUGAACGGGCAGGGAAACCUGGCAUUUUCCUUUAUUCUCCCUGUAGGCCUCAGCUGUUCUUUCCUGGACCCCUCGUGGGCGGCGGGCUAACACGCACAAUUCAAUUUUCAGGGCUCACAAAAGACUGCACUCCAGCAGCAUAGGUCAUUUGCACCUCCCUGUCUCCCUGCAGGUCUCUGUUUUGUCCCCAGGGCAGGGAGGGAACAGGCAAACACCUGGAAGUGAGUGAGAUGGGGCUCUGGCAUCGUGCGGCUCCCCGGGAAAGGAUACACAGCCGCUGCAAGGUCAAUGUCAGCUGAUGGUGACAAAGAGGACAACGAACACAAGAACCGCCACCGUUUAUUGUUACCGUUAAGCUGCCACGAAAAGAAGUCGCAGUAUUUUUACCCGAGUGACGGAGGAGUUUGGUAUUUUAAAAAUGUAUGCUCUCUUCACCUUCAGGAAAAUCAUACAUUAUGUAUAGUGAGAGCUGGGCGAAGAUCGUGAAUCGGCAGCUAAACUUCCUUUACUAUUUGAUACCAGACUGUUUUUUCUGACUGUGGUCAGUAUUUAAAAGCUUACAUGGACAUUACUCAUGGUGGGAACCAAUGUUUUAUUUUUGCUGAGACAGAGGGGCCAACUUAGAAGAGUGAGGUAAAGCGUGCCUCUGGUGGCAGGCAGGUUCCCCGCUGGGAAAAGCCCAUCCCCACCCCCCUCCCGAACAAGGCUGGGCCACCAAGAGCUGGCUAGAAUCUGUGGUCAACCAGGGCAGAUACUCAGCUGUGAGCAGGAUGGCUGGACAAGUGUUUAAAAUAACUGCAAAUCUUAGGGCGCCUGGGUGGGUCAGUCAGUUGAGCAUCCAACUCUUGAUUUCGGCUCAGGUCAUGACCCCAGGGUCAUGGGAUGGAUGGAGCCCCAUGUUGGGCUCCACACUGAGCAUGCAGCCUGCUUGGGAUUCUCUCUCUUCUUCUCUCUCAAAAUAAGUAUUAAAAUAAUUGCAAAUCUGUACCUGAUGAUAGACAGUGUCAUGAGCCUCAAAGGGCCCCUAUCCUGGACCUCUCUGUAGCCCAGCAGGUAAAGAAGGUUAACUCAAGGCACUAGAAGUGUCUGUAGGGUCCC